CCUGCAAAAUAAACAUAGGGGGUCCUGCCUGCCCAGUGACUGCAAAGUUUAACGGCCGCGGUAUCUUGACCGUGCGAAGGUAGCAUAAUCAUUUGUCUCCUAAAUAGAGACUGGUAUGAAUGGCAAGACGGAGCUUCACUGUCUCCUCCUCUUUGAUCUGAACUUCACAUUCCCGUGAAGAGGCGAGAAUUAGUUCGUAAGACGAGAAGACCCUGUCGAGCUGUAGCUAAAUUUUAAUUGUUAUUUACUAUUAGCCCUAACUAAUUAUAAUAAGAAUAGUGGACCUAAAGCAUGACAAAUUAAAACAAGCUUUGAUUGGGGCAAUCCCGGAGAAAGAAAAUCCUCCGCUACUAUAUGGUUAUAUUAACCUAAAAUAAAAGAAUUAUUUUUCUUAAAUCAUAAAAAUGAAGAUAUGAUCCACUUACAGUGAUCAAAAGAACAAG
rnacentral:rRNA from 1 species